GAUGAACGCUGGCGGCGUGCCUAAUACAUGCAAGUCGAGCGAACAGACGAGGAGCUUGCUCCUCAGACGUUAGCGGCGGACGGGUGAGUAACACGUGGAUAACCUACCUAUAAGACUGGGAUAACUUCGGGAAACCGGAGCUAAUACCGGAUAAUAUAUUGAACCGCAUGGUUCAAUAGUGAAAGACGGUUUUGCUGUCACUUAUAGAUGGAUCCGCGCCGCAUUAGCUAGUUGGUAAGGUAACGGCUUACCAAGGCAACGAUGCGUAGCCGACCUGAGAGGGUGAUCGGCCACACUGGAACUGAGACACGGUCCAGACUACUACGGGAGGCAGCAGUAGGGAAUCUUCCGCAAUGGGCGAAAGCCUGACGGAGCAACGCCGCGUGAGUGAUGAAGGUCUUCGGAUCGUAAAACUCUGUUAUUAGGGAAGAACAAAUGUGUAAGUAACUAUGCACGUCUUGACGGUACCUAAUCAGAAAGCCACGGCUAACUACGUG
rnacentral:rRNA from 1 species